GGUGACCAUCCGAAGGUCGUUUCAAUAUUAAUUAUAUAUCAAAUAUACAUAUAUAGACAUAAAAGUACUUCCAUAUUCAUGCGUACUAUACACAUCACUAGUAAGUUACCAUCGGGGUAACACAGGAUCAUACUACUACAACUUCUAGAUCAAUGAGUCAGUUCAUUCAUGAGUCUAUACAUUACAUUACUAUGAGAACAUAUACAACUAUACUAGAAAGAGAACAUAUACAACUAUACUAGGAAGAGAACAUAUACAACUAUACUAGAAAGAGAACAUAUACAACUAUACUAGGAAGAGAACAUAUACAACUAUACUAGAACGAGAAACAUUACAUAUACAUGAAUACGUUAACAAUUGUGAUCCACUGUGUCGGAGCAUGCCUUAAAUGUCAUGGCCCGAGUUGUAGCCAGAAUUCUCUUGGAGGGAGAGCGUGAGUUUGCGUAUAGAUCUAUACUGGAUUGACUAUCCUACACCUUGCUGCUAGCUACAGCCGGACCUGCAGGUCUGCGGGUGCCAAACGUCAUUCCGUUAUUACGACCAUUCGUAUGUCGUUGUUACCAGUCGAUAGUAUGGUGCAAUUAUCACAUUAUACCUUAAUAUAAAUCCGGUUUAAGGUAGUUAGUACAGCAGUAGUUCCUAUAAUACAAAACUACAGUACUACAAUGAUUUACCCAUUACAUAUUUUUAGUGAUAACCUCACUUAAACAUUAAUGUACAAACUAUAUUUGUUAAAUGAUAGUUACACUUGGGAAAUUACACACUUUUACAACAAACGAGCAUACAAAACAGUUAAGCCUUGGUAGAAGGCUACUUUAAUAGAAAAUAUAGGUUUUUCUGAGAGAUUCAAACUUUUACAAACACUUACAUACAUUUUACAAACUUAUACUUGAGACACGUUCAAACGUUUUGAUAACAAACAUCGACACUAAAAUACUUAUGAACUCACCAGCUUAAUGCUGAUAAACUCUUUCAAAAUAACUUGUAUUCUCAGGUCAUCAGUAGACAGGUACCGAUGCCAGCUUUUGAGAAGAUGGAGCGCAUUCAAGACUCAUCAUAUUAUUUUGAUUUACAUUAUAUUUUUGGUGUCUAAAACUGUACAGAACACGCUUGUAUUAAAAUUAUAUAUUUAAUGCAAUGGAUGAUGUUGUUUGCUUAUUUACAUUUACUGUGUUGUGAUACUGUACAUGACGUCCUCCGCCCCAGAACGUUUCCGCCGUUCUUGGUUUUGGGGUGUGACAGAUUGGUAUCAGAGCAUUGUUUAUAGUGAAUCAAGUAUAUCAACCCAUAAAAGAUAUACUAAACUAUAAACCCAUUAGGGAUUAAAGCACUCUGACCCAGAGUCUAUACUUUAAAUAUUAAAAUAUUUAAUUAAGUAUACUAGUCUGCAUUCAUACUAAAAUCAGUGUCACAAUGACAAGAACAAAAGUAUUACGAUUGUUAAAUAUCACAAGUGAGCUCGGGGAUGUAUGGUCAGUCCUGGGAAUGGCAUAGCCUGAUCAACUAUGCUGGUCCGAGGAGUGAUUAGCAUAUGCCCUAGAAUGGUUGUGAUAUGUUAACAAGUCUAAAAACUUACCAACAAUACCACAAGAAGAUCAGUAGAACUUAAACUUAAAAUACUAUAGGUGUAUUUUGUACUACUAGUUACAUGUAUACUAUAUUCUUACACCUUUCUUCUCGCAUAGAUUUGAAUGGCUGGAUUCCAUCACCGCAACCCGUACUUUCCAAAUGAAGGCAAUGUCGGGUGGAUCGAAGAAGAGCCUGAAGAUGAGCAUCCAAUCCCUUUGGAUGAUCACCUCGCAGAAGGCUUUUCUGAUGGAUCUGACUCCAAGCCUGAAGUCAACAACCUACCGCUAGUAGGUCUAGCCCCGAACAACAACCCCCGACCAGCUUUUCCAGGUCCUACUCCCUUGUGGGCAACCAACUUGAAUCGCUGGAGUGAUGAACAGGGUCAACCCUUACCAUACUUUGGGGACCGAAGCUUUUACAACGUCAGUGAAGGUGGUUCUGCUGACCGAGCUCUGCCCGUCAUUAUCCGCAGGAUAGCUCGUAAUGUUGAGCAAGGUCGAGCAGCCAUCGACCGGGUCAUGGAGAUUGAUGCCAACUCAGGUGUCAACACAGUCCGCAUCCGCCGUCUUGAAGAAGACAUGGAACGGACCCGUAGAACCAAUGAAACCCUGCAGCAACAGCUGGCUGCCUCUCGAGCUGAAGUCUUGGAACUUCGAGCCCGCCAGAGGACUCAGGAGCGACACCUUCAAGAGGUGUUUCGUCAAGUGUCAAACCUCAGGGCUCGCCCGAGGAAUUCCCAUCGCCGUUAAAAGAUAUCUAAUACAUCUCUGUCUUUUGGUUAAGGAAUUGCCUUUAACAUCUGUGCUCUAAGUAGCACUUGUCUGUAAAAUUUUCCUAACUUUCAGUACUCUAAUUAGGAAUCUAAGAACUGUCAAACUUAUCUGUAUGGUAUGAUGUAAGAUCUACUGUUAGGUCAAUUUUCCAUGAACUUAUUACAUCAAUAAUACCAGUAUUAUUGAAAUCUAUCUAAUAUGUGGGAAAAAUCUGUACACUUGUGUUUUUCCUACUAAUAUUCCUGUUGUACUCUCAAACGCUCAUUCAACUGUUGGGCUAUGGGUAGUUAGUCCAUGUUUCACUCUCACGUUGCUUACAAAUUGAUUCUUACCAUUUUUCUUAUCUUUAUAAACUUAUAGCUGAAAGAUGCCUCCUCGCAAAUCUCCCAGGAAUAACCCUACACCUCCACCACCUCCUCCGCCUCCGGUCGUCGAUACUGCAGCCCUGAAUGCUGUUGUAGCUGCAGCAGUGGCAACUGCCAUGGCUCAGUAUCACUCAUCUGAUGCCAGCAGAGGUGGAACCCCUGUUGAAUCAAUCCCGGUUGAAAUCCCUGUGCGCUCGAGAGAGUGCUCCUACAAGGAUUUCACCAAUUGCAAGCCGAAGCCUUUCUAUGGCACCAGCGGAGUCAUUGCCCUCUCGCAAUGGUUCGAGAAGACUGAAUCAGUCUUCGAAAUCUGUUCAUGCCUUGCUGCGAGCAAAGUCAAAUAUGUCGCAUGCACCUUUGAGGGAAAGGACCUGACGUGGUGGAAUAGCCACGUUAAAGCUCUAACCCUCAACGUAGCCAACGACAUAGGCUGGGAAACGAUGAAAGACCUCAUGAUGGAGGAAUACUGCCCGAGGGGCGAAGUCCAGAAAUUGGAACAGGAACUUUGGAACCUGACUAUGAAGGGCACCAACGUAGUCGCUUAUACUGCCCGAUUCAGUGAACUGGUGGCUCUCUGCCCCAAUAUGGUUCCCAAUGAAGGGAAAAAGAUCGAGAAGUAUAUAUGGGGGCUAGUGCCUCCGUAUCAGGGGAAUGUCCUAGCAUCAAACCCCACUACCUUCGACAGUGCCAAGCGACUGGCACAACGACUCAUUGACCAUGGAGUCAAAACCCCUGCAACCACAACAACCCUAGCCAUCCCGGAACCCUCCAAACCCGCUGACACUAAGCGGAAAUUCUGGGAUGAAAGGAAGAAGUAGCAAGCUGCCAAAAAGCAGCAAAUUGUGGUUGUGCAUGCCGCAGUAACCUCUACUGCUGCUACUACUCCAGGGAAACAAUAUGAUGGAAGUUUGCCUAAGUGAAACAAAUGCAACUUCCACCACAACGGCCCCUGCCGUGAAAUGCAGUGCUCUAACUGCAACAGGAAAGGACACACCGUCCGUUUCUGUAAGUUCCCGGCACAACCNACAACCGAUCAACCAAGUCCCUGGCUCUGGCGCGAGCCCGACCUGCUAUGGAUGUGGCGAAACAGGCCACUUUAAGAGGGACUACCCCAAAGCGAAGAAUGCUGGAGGAGCAGGGAAAGUACUAGCUAUAGACCCGACAGUGGUGACUGGUACGUUCCUCCUCGAUAACUCCUAUGCAUGCAUUCUGUUCGAUAGUGGAGUGGAGCGAUGCUUCGUAAACCAUAAAUUUUCUCGCAUGCUUAAACAACAACCAUACACACUUAAGGAACAAUUCACAGUAGAAAUGGCUAAUGGGAAAACUGAAAGUACGAAUAGCAUAUACUUAGGUUGUACCCUAACUCUAGGUAACCAUUCAUUCCCAAUCGACCUCAUGCCAGUCUCAAUAAAAAGCUUCGACGUUAUCAUCGGCAUGGAUUGGUUAAGUCUUCAUCGCGCCGACAUCAUGUGCUAUGAGAAAGCAGUCCGUCUAAACCUUCCGUCUAACGAAACUCUUAUAGUCUACGGCGAAAAACCCGGUGCAAGUCUUCGUAUCAUAUCAAGUAUUCAAGCGCAGAAGUAUCUGCGUAAAGAAUACCAUGCAUUCCUUGCUCACGUCGUCGAUACGAGCCUCGAACCGAAAGAACUAAAGGACAUCCCAGUAGUGAGCGACUUCCCCGACAUUUUCCCAGAAGAACUACCCGGGUUACCUCCGCAACGACAGGUCGAGUUCAGAACUCUCUGGUCAACUUAACGAACUGCUCAGCAAGGGCUUUAUAAGACCAAGUUUCUCACCUUGGGGAGCACCGGUCUUGUUCGUUAAGAAGAAAGACGGAUCAUUCCGUAUGUGUAUUGACUACAGAGAACUCAACAAAUUGACGAUCAAAAAUCGUUACCCUCUGCCACGCAUAGAUGAUCUAUUCGACCAACUGCAAGGGGCGAACUAUUUUUCCAAGAUUGAUCUGAGAUCCGGAUAUCACCAGUUACGAGUGCUCGAGGAGGAUGUGCCGAAGACAGCCUUCCGAACUCGUUACGGACACUACGAGUUCGUGGUGAUGCCAUUCGGAUUGACCAAUGCGCCCGCAGUCUUCAUGGAUCUGAUGAAUAGAGUAUGCCGACCUUACUUAGAUCAGUUCGUCAUCGUUUUCAUUGACGACAUCCUGAUCUACUCCCGAAGUAAGAAGGAGCAUGGUGAUCAUCUGCGACAAGUUCUAGAGACAUUACGAAAGGAGAAACUUUAUGCGAAGUUCUCGAAAUGUGAAUUUUGGAUCCGAAGAGUCGAAUUCUUAGGACACGUGGUAAGCGAAGAAGGAAUCCACGUGGACCCAUCCAAAAUAAAAGCCAUUGAGAACUGGUCAGCACCAAAGACACCUACAGAAAUUCGCCAAUUUCUAGGUCUCGCUGGCUACUACCGCAGGUUCAUUCAGAACUUCUCCCGAAUAGCGAAGCCUCUUACGACCCUGACCCAGAAAGGCGUGGCCUUUGACUGGGAAGAGAAGCAAGAAAGAGCGUUCCAAACGCUCAAACGAGCCUUGUGCACCGCACCAAUACUAUCCCUUCCAGAAGGAAUAGAAGACUUCGUAGUCUAUUGCGAUGCAUCCAAUCAAGGACUCGGAUGUGUUCUGAUGCAGCGAGGUAAGGUCAUCGCCUACGCCUCGAGACAGUUGAAGACACAUGAGGUUAACUACACGACCCACGAUCUUGAACUAGGAGCAGUAGUGUUUGCUCUGAAGAUCUGGAGACAUUACUUGUAUGGAACGAAGAGCACUAUCUUUACCGACCACAAGAGUUUACAACACAUUUUCGAUCAGAAGGAGCUCAACAUGAGACAACGACGGUGGGUCGAGCUACUCAGUGAUUACGAAUGCGAUAUUCGUUAUCAUCCGGGUAAAGCCAACGUAGUAGCAGACGCCCUAAGUCGGAAGGAAUAUUCUGGUCGCAAAGUCAAGUCAUUAUCAAUAACCAUCCAUUCACACCUGACUAAGCAAAUUCAGGCGGCUCAACUUGAGGCCAUGAAACCUGAAAAUGUGUCGAGUGAAUCCCUUAGGGGAAUGGACAAGAACUUCGAAGCCAAGGGUGACAGAGCUUUAUAUUUCAUGAACCGGAUCUGGACACCGAAACACGGUGGUUUCCGAGACUUGGUCAUGACCGAGGCGCACAACACUCGGUAUUCCGUCCACCCAGGUUCAGAUAAGAUGUAUCUGGAUCUUAAAAAGCUAUACUGGUGGCCUAAUAUGAAAGCAGAGAUUGCUACCUUCGUGAGUAAAUGCCUUACUUGCGCAAAGGUUAAGGUCGAGUACCAGAAGCCCUCUGGUUUACUGCAACAACCAGAGAUCCCAGAAUGGAAGUGGGAGCGGAUCACUAUGGAUUUCAUAACCAAGUUGCCCAAGACAACGGGUGGACUUGACACCAUAUGGGUCAUCGUUGAUAGAUUGACCAAGUCUGCACACUUCCUGCCUAUCAAAGAAACCGACAAGAUGGAGAAACUUACGAGAACAUACAUUAGGGAAAUUGUACGGCUACAUGGUGUACCUAUGUCCAUUAUCUCCGAUAGAGAUAGUAGGUUCACCUCAAGAUUUUGGCAAUCACUACAACAUUCCCUAGGAACAAGGCUGGACAUGAGCACAGCCUACCAUCCUCAGACCGACGGACAGAGUGAGAGGACCAUCCAAACUCUGGAAGAUAUGUUGCGAGCCUGCGUGAUUGACUUUGGGAAGGCAUGGGAUACUCAUUUACCCCUUGUCGAGUUUUCCUAUAAUAACAGUUAUCACACGAGCAUCAAGGCUGCUCCAUUUGAAGCUCUCUACGGCCGUAAGUGCAGAUCCCCUCUGUGCUGGGCUGAGGUGGGUGAUACCCAAUUAGCCAGGGGGCAAACUUCCGACAGUACUCUCACCGGUCCGGAGAUCAUUCGGGAAACAACAGAGAAAAUCGUUCAGAUCCGUGAACGAUUGAAAGCCUCUAGAGACCGACAGAAGAGCUACGCUGAUAAACGAAGGAAACCUUUGGAAUUUCAGGUGGGAGACCGAGUCCUCCUCAAAGUCUCACCCUGGAAGGGCUUGAUACGCUUCGGCAAGCGUGGAAAGCUUAAUCCGAGGUACAUAGGGCCUUUCGAGAUUCUUGCAAGAGUCGGCCCCGUAGCUUACAAACUCGAACUACCAGACGCACUUCGUAACGUACAUUCUACAUUCCACGUAUCUAACUUGAAAAAGUGUCUAUCCGACGAGACUCUUGUAAUCCCACUCGACGAGAUCGAGAUCAACAAGAGCCUCAACUUCGUGGAAGAACCUGUAGAGAUCAUGGACCGUGAGGUCAAGCAGAUGAAGCAAAGCUGUAUCCCUAUCGUGAAGGUUCGCUGGAACGCCAAGCGAGGACCGGAAUUCACUUGGGAACACGAGGAUCAGAUGAAACUGAAAUGCCCUCAUCUUUUCGCUUAAUUGUUUGUAAAUUCUUAUUUGCUUAAAUUCUAAAAUCAGGACGAAAUUCCUUCUAACGGGGGUUUAUGGCCAAGAAAUGCUCUUGGGCCGUAAACUCCAAGUAAAGGCACCAAAGUGUGCCUAAAGUCCCCUUAGCCUAAAUCAAAAGUCUAGAAAUUAUCCUACUUGUGCAAGAGAUUUAAAAGAAUUAAAACAUCCACCCCAUGAGAGUUUAUGGCUGUAAACUCUAAGGGGUAUGGUCUUUAGGCCGUAAACUCCUCAAAGGAGUGUUAUCUAUGCCCUAAACUACCCAAAGGAUUAAACCACCAAGCUAGGCUUAUUCUAGAAUUCAUGUAGCACCUUAAAACACCCAAAACAACCAAGAAUGGAGUUCACGGCCGUAAACUCAAGAGUUUAUGACCGAAAACUCCAAGGGUGGGGUUUGUUGGGUGGUAAACACUUAUUCAAGGUUCUUGGAAGCUUCAAACCCCUUUAGCCUUGUCCCAUAACACUUAGAUGCAACCAUUAGGACCUAUAACACUUAUACAAAGUGUUUACAUGUUCCUAAGUGUCCCAACUUAUUUCAUUAAGUUAUUAUUUGGCUAAUUAGUUAUAUAUAUGCUCAUUAUAUGAUAACUAGGCUCGUGCGUGUGAACAAGUCUCCGUUUGCCACCUAGCACGGUAUCCGACAUUACAAUCCAAUCCACUCACCACAAGUGAGUUCAUACCCCUUUAAUUAACCUUUUAAAUACUUUAAAUGUUUUAAAUACUUUAUGGGGGGAGGGGGAAUACAAGUUAAAUGCUUAUAGUUAUUGUAUCAAUCACAUGUGUUUACAUUAAUCAUAUGUGAUUAAUAACUAGAAAAACAAUGAUUUUAUCACUGUUCAAAUUGUUUAUCAAACUGCUUUACUUCAAAAUGUUUUACAAACUCUUUUACUUAUCAAAUGCUUUUAUUAAACUUUGUUUCACUUCUUGUAAAUUGCAUGCCCAUAUAUGUAUAGAUAUAUAAGUAAUGUUUAAAGGGCUUAGGAAGGCCAUCCGCCCUAUUUCCUUUUUCUCGAUUUGGAUGUCGUCUGGUGGGAUUUCGGGUGACCGUCCGAAGGUCGUUUCAAUAUUAGUUAUAUAUCAAAUACACAUAUAUAGACAUAAAAGUACUUCCAUAUUCAUGUGUACUAUACACAUCACUAGUAAGUUACCAUCGGGGUAACACAGGAUCAUACUACUACAACUUCUAGAUCAAUGAGUCAGUUCAUUCAUGAGUCUAUAUACAUUACAUUACUAUGAGAACA
rnacentral:lncRNA from 1 species